UUAUGGCUCAGGACGAACGCUGGCGGCGUGCUUCACACAUGCAAGUCGAACGGAAAGGCACCUUCGGGUGUACUCGAGUGGCGAACGGGUGAGUAACACGUGAGUAAUCUGCCUUUAGCUUUGGGAUAAGCCUCGGAAACGGGGUCUAAUACCGGAUAUGACUGCUGCUCGCAUGAGUGGUGGUGGAAAGUUUUUCGGCUAGAGAUGGGCUCGCGGUCUAUCAGCUUGUUGGUGGGGUAAUGGCUCACCAAGGCUUUGACGGGUAGCCGGCCUGAGAGGGCGACCGGCCACACUGGGACUGAGAUACGGCCCAGACUCCUACGGGAGGCAGCAGUGGGGAAUAUUGCGCAAUGGGCGAAAGCCUGACGCAGCGACGCCGCGUGAGGGAUGACGGCCUUCGGGUUGUAAACCUCUUUCGGUAGGGACGAAGCGUAAGUGACGGUACCUGCAGAAGAAGCGCCGGCUAACUACGUGCCAGCCGCAGC
rnacentral:rRNA from 1 species